AUACUCUGGUUUCUCUUCAGUUCGAAUAAAGCUUUCGCCUUUACUAAAGAUUUCCGUGGAAAGGAACAUCCAUGAGUUUUCAAAAAAAUUUUGAGGCUCCGCCCCUUGCAGGGC